GGGCACUGGAGCCAUCUUCAGUUGUCACCCAUGAACUUAUCAGGAAAUGUAGCUAAAGGGUGUGAAGGGGGAUCUAUGAGGAUCUUUAACCAUUCAUUUAAAGCUGCCUGUCCAUGUAUAAAUGUUAACUAGAUAAACGAGCCCCUCAUGGACCUGAAAAAGCAUCAGCUGUAGAAUGUGGUCACUUGAAGAAAAGGCACUGCACUCUGCCGCAGCUGCACUCUGAAUCACAUGACCAUAAAAAGAGGGCCUCGUGAACUCAUGAUGCGCAUAUGGAUCUGUGUAAAGCACUGUCACAGUGUGAAAAUGCUGGUCUCCUCUGCAACAGAGGCUUCUGCAGGGGCCAGUAUGACAUCCAAUCCAGAAAGGCAUGGAAAAGCACAUCUACAAAGGACAGCAUGAAUGAGUGAACCAGAAUUUCCUACUACACAUGCUUUUACUGCCCCCUGCAGCACAAUACGCACAAUUACAGCCCAUUUGCACUACAUUGUUAGCACAAUG